CUCAGGACGAACGCUGGCGGCGUGCCUAAUACAUGCAAGUCGAGCGCGGGAAGCAAGCAGAUCUCCUUCGGGAGUGACGCUUGUGGAACGAGCGGCGGACGGGUGAGUAACACGUGGGCAACCUACCUGUAAGACUGGGAUAACUCCGGGAAACCGGGGCUAAUACCGGAUGAAACAAAGCGUCGCAUGACGCAAUGUUAAAAGGCGGCAUAUGCUGUCACUUACAGAUGGGCCCGCGGCGCAUUAGCUAGUUGGUGAGGUAAAGGCUCACCAAGGCAACGAUGCGUAGCCGACCUGAGAGGGUGAUCGGCCACACUGGGACUGAGACACGGCCCAGACUCCUACGGGAGGCAGCAGUAGGGAAUCUUCCGCAAUGGACGAAAGUCUGACGGAGCAACGCCGCGUGAGUGAUGAAGGUUUUCGGAUCGUAAAACUCUGUUGUUAGGGAAGAACAAGUGCCAUUCGAAUAGGUUGGCACCUUGACGGUACCUAACCAGAAAGCCCCGGCUAACUACGUGCCAGCAGCCGCGGUAAUACGUAGGGGGCAAGCGUUGUCCGGAAUUAUUGGGCGUAAAGCGCGCGCAGGCGGUCCUUUAAGUCUGAUGUGAAAGCCCACGGCUUAACCGUGGAGGGCCAUUGGAAACUGGAGGACUUGAGUACAGAAGAGGAGAGUGGAAUUCCACGUGUAGCGGUGAAAUGCGUAGAGAUGUGGAGGAACACCAGUGGCGAAGGCGACUCUCUGGUCUGUAACUGACGCUGAGGUGCGAAAGCGUGGGUAGCGAACAGGAUUAGAUACCCUGGUAGUCCACGCCGUAAACGAUGAGUGCUAGGUGUUAGGGGGUUUCCGCCCCUUAGUGCU
rnacentral:rRNA from 1 species